rnacentral:rRNA from 1 species
AUUGAACGCUGGCGGCAUGCUUUACACAUGCAAGUCGAACGGCAGCAGGGGGGCAACCCUGGUGGCGAGUGGCGAACGGGUGAGUAAUACAUCGGAACGUGCCCAGUCGUGGGGGAUAACGUAGCGAAAGUUACGCUAAUACUGCAUACGAUCUACGGAUGAAAGCGGGGGACCGUAAGGCCUCGCGCGAUUGGAGCGGCCGAGGUCAGAUUAGGUAGUUGGUGAGGUAAAGGCUCACCAAGGCGACGAUCUGUAGCUGGUCUGAGAGGACGACCAGCCACACUGGGACUGAGACACGGCCCAGACUCCUACGGGAGGCAGCAGUGGGGAAUUUUGGACAAUGGGCGCAAGCCUGAUCCAGCCAUGCCGCGUGCAGGACGAAGGCCUUCGGGUUGUAAACUGCUUUUGUACGGAACGAAAAGGCUCUGGUUAAUACCUGGGGCUCAUGACGGUACCGUAAGAAUAAGCACCGGCUAACUACGUGCCAGCAGCCGCCGUAA